rnacentral:rRNA from 1 species
CACAUGCAGUCGAGCGGAUGAGAGGAGCUUGCUCCUUGAUUUAGCGGCGGACGGGUGAGUAAUGCCUAGGAAUCUGCCUGGUAGUGGGGGAUAACGUUUUGAAAGGAACGCUAAUACCGCAUACGUCCUACGGGAGAAAGCAGGGGACCUUCGGGCCUUGCGCUAUCAGAUGACUUAGGUCGGAUUAGCUAGUUGGCGAGGUAAUGGCUCACCAAGGCGACGACCCGUAACUGGUCUGAGAGGAUGAUCAGUCACACUGGAACUGAGACACGGUCCAGACUCCUACGGGAGGCAGCAGCGGGGAAUAUUGGACAAUGGGCGAAAGCCUGAUCCAGCCAUGCCGCGUGUGUGACGAAGGUCUUCGGAUUGUAAAGCACUUUACGUUGGGAGGAAGGGCAUUAACCUAAUACGUUAGUGUUUUGACGUUACCGACAGAAUAAGCACCGGCCAACUUCGUGCCCGCCCCCGCGGUAAUACGAAGGGUGCAAGCGUUAAUCGGAAUUACUGCUCGCAAAGCGCGCGCCCCCGGUUCGUUAAG